UAGUCCACGCCGUAAACGAUGGAUACUAGUUGUUGGGCAUUAGCUCAGUGACUAAGCGAAAGUGAUAAGUAUCCCACCUGGGGAGUACGGUCGCAAGACUGAAACUCAAAGGAAUUGACGGGGGCCCGCACAAGCGGUGGAGCAUGUGGUUUAAUUCGAUGAUACGCGAGGAACCUUACCAGGGCUUAAAUGUAGUAUGACAGGUUUAGAGAUAGACUUUUCUUCGGACAUAUUACAAGGUGCUGCAUGGUUGUCGUCAGCUCGUGCCGUGAGGUGUCAGGUUAAGUCCUAUAACGAGCGCAACCCCUGUCGUUAGUUGCUAACAAGUAAAGUUGAGGACUCUAGCGAGACUGCCGGUGCAAACCGCGAGGAAGGUGGGGAUGACGUCAAAUCAUCACGGCCCUUACGUCCUGGGCCACACACGUGCUACAAUGGUAUGGACAAUGAGCAGCCACUACGCGAGUAGGAGCGAAUCUAUAAACCAUAUCACAGUUCGGAUCGG
rnacentral:rRNA from 1 species